CCUACGGGAGGCAGCAGUGGGGAAUUUUCCGCAAUGGGCGAGAGCCUGACGGAGCAACGCCGCGUGAGGGACGAAGGCCUCUGGGCUGUAAACCUCUUUUCUCAAGGAAGAAGAUAUGACGGUACUUGAGGAAUAAGCCACGGCUAAUUCCGUGCCAGCAGCCGCGGUAAUACGGGAGUGGCAAGCGUUAUCCGGAAUUAUUGGGCGUAAAGCGUCCGCAGGCGGCCUUUCAAGUCUGCUGUUAAAGCGUGGAGCUUAACUCCAUUAUGGCAGUGGAAACUGAUGGGCUUGAGUAUGGUAGGGGCAGAGGGAAUUCCCGGUGUAGCGGUGAAAUGCGUAGAUAUCGGGAAGAACACCAGUGGCGAAGGCGCUCUGCUGGGCCAUUACUGACGCUCAUGGACGAAAGCCAGGGGAGCGAAAGGGAUUAGAUACCCCUGUAGUCCUGGCCGUAAACGAUGAACACUAGGUGUCGGGGGAAUCGACCCCUUCGGUGUCGUAGCUAACGCGUUAAGUGUUCCGCCUGGGGAGUACGCACGCAAGUGUGAAACUCAAAUGAAUUGACGG
rnacentral:rRNA from 1 species